GUUUAUGCGACCGGCCCUCAAUAGUCAUAGCAAUACUACAAGACUUGUCCUUUUUUGCGUUUUCCCCAGAGAUAUGGAGAAGGAGAAUGAGCUUCGACUUCUGCGCAUCGGUACACUAUGGGGGCCGCCAUUUUAUCAGUUAACCUUAAAGUUUUGUUUACCUACGAGGUUACGACGUUGUUGAACCAGUUGUAAUUUGGAGUUAAAAUUAUUACUUAAUUUGUUUUACCGUUAGUGUACGUGUGAACGUGCUUGUUAGUGUUAAAGGACAUUAUUAUUGACAACAAACAUGUCUUGUACAGUUUCUCACUGUAAAAAUUGUCAACGAUUUCGUUCAGAAGGUGUAUCUUUUCAUCAGUAAGUUUUCUUCAUUAUCUUAUUAAAAUCGAAUACGUAGAUAUUUAUAAUUAAUAACAAUUGGUUAUUGCAAUACUAUGUGAUCAAUAUUUAUUAUAUCUGAUUUUAGGUUUCCGAAAGAUCGAAAACUUUUAAAAAAGUGGCUGAUUGUUGUGAAAAAAGAUGACAGCUUCAAACUGACUAAGUAUAAGCUGGUGUGCUCAGAUCAUUUCACAACAACUGAUUUCAUUGUUGUAAAUGAGAGAAAACGAUUGAAAUCGAACGCAAUUCCCAGGGUGAAUUUAGAUGAAAGUCUAGAAGCUUCUUCAACUUCAAUGAGUACUGUGAGUGCUACUUCAGCUGAUAUUUGAGAAGAGUCUCCAUCGAUUAUACCUCAAGGUGUAAAGAGGACAUUAAGUGCUGCGCAGAGAUACCAUGGAAAAAGCAGUAGCAGUACAAGUGGAAGUAAAAGCAAGAACUCAAAAAGUAGUUCUGACAGGAGGGAAGGUGAUAAGCUGGCGUUACAUAAAGAAACUACAUGAAUUACAAAAUGAUGAAUUCCUAAAUGUUGCAAACAAGUUGAAAAAGGCACAUUUGGAGUGAUGGAAACAUAAAAUGAAAUUCUAUUAUAGGUGAGUUUAGCAGCACAAACUCUUAGCAAGAGUUGCGGAUGCACUUGAAUUUUUAAAAGAUCUUGGUAUUAGUGACUUUCAAGGUUGUCAAACAACAAUAGAAUUCAUCAGACGGAUAGAUUCUUUAUUUGAUAUUCUCAAUUCCCGAAGUGUACGUGCUAAGAAUUUUAAGGCACCUUUGAGAGAAAACAAUGAAGAAAUGUGGCGUCCAUUUCUCAUCGACACCAGUGAGUAUCUUCUGAAUUUGAAGGAUGUCACUGGCGGGCCUUUGUGGUGCACGCCCCGAAAAACGUCAAUUCUGGGCUUUGUUAUUUCCGCUACGUCGUUCAUGGGAAUUUUUGAUGAAUUUGUUAGUAGUAAGAGGUUGAAUGACUUGCUAACAUAAAUGUAGUCAAGAUCAUCUAGAAAUUUUCUUCUGCUCAGUGCGGUAAGCUUUUAAAAAAACAAUUGUAUUACUUUUUUAUGCACUGGAAUUACACAAAUCUGUAUUUAUUUUUCUGUUUUCAGAUCGAGAAAUGGGUGAAACAAUAACCCUACUCCUCUACGAUUUUGUAAAACUUAGAAGAUUGCUUCUAUUUACAAACAUAACGAGGGAAGGAGGAAAUUGUAAAGUGCUUUGCACCACCUGUCUGCUCUCUGUUAGCAUUGGCCCAAAGCAAAAGAGCACAAAUGUUCAACAAUCAGUUGACGUGUUUGUCUUGAAAAAAUAUGAUCUCGAUAUUUUGACUGAAGCACUUGCAGAUCAUGACUAUGAACGUCUAAUUUUAUUGGGCUGAGUGAAGUGGCAGAAAACGUGGCAUAUAUUGGUAGCUAUGUUGUCAAAAUGCUGGUGAAGACGUUUAAGUGCGCAGACUGCAUUUCUUCUUGCAUUGAAACACGAGGAAGUGACUUACAGUUUUACAGAUUAUUGGACAAAAAAAACAUGGGUAAAAUAAAAUACUUACAAUAGUUAUUUUUUAAGUCUUAACAAAAUUUUGAUUUUAGGUGGGCUUAUUAAACCUUUUGCUGGGGUUGUGAAGACUUGUUGUUACUGUUAAUACGAAAAAUUUUGCAACUCACUGAUAAACUUCCAAGCGAUGAACAAUUUUUUAAAACUUUCGGCAUGCCAGCAUUCUUUUUCCUAAUUUAGAAGACCCACGCACUCGAGACGGUGGCCAUCGAUGAAGGCCAUUUAUAUAUUCUUAUUAAACAAAUAAUUAAUGCCUACAUGCGAAUAAGAAUGUUUAAUUUGAGCAAAAGACUUUCAUGUCUUGCUCAAGGCACUUCUGUUAGACAUGUGUACACAUAAUUAGUACUGUUUUCGCAUCAAUAAAUAUAUUGAAGUAUAA